CCCGAACUGUAUCAGGAUGAUGACACCGAUGUUUCUGCUGGCCAUGUUGGGAUUCUUACUGCAAGAGUCAUCCGCCAGCCAAUUUCUGACUCAGGCGGACAAACUGAAGUCCGUCCCUCUCGGACGGACCGUGUCCAUCACGGCCACGGGGAGUUCAGAUAUUGAUGAUGACCUCAGCUGGUAUCUACAGAGACCCGGACAGGCUCCCGAACUCCUCAUCUACUCCGCCACAACUCUCAACCCGGGAACUCCGCGCCGAUUUAGUGGCAGUAGAUCUGGUUCAGAUUACACCCUGACGAUCACGGAGUUUCAGGCUGGUGAUGCUGGGGAUUACUAUUGUUUUGGCCACCAUGUUGGCAAUGUGUUCACACAGUGA